ACGCUCGACACCUACGGAGGCAGCAGUGGGGAAUAUUGCACAAUGGGGGAAACCCUGAUGCAGCGACGCCGNGUGGAGGAAGAAGGUCUUCGGAUUGUAAACUCCUGUUGUUGGGGAAAAAGAGGAUGGUACCCAACAAGGAAGUGACGGCUAACUACGUGCAGCAGCCGCGGUAAUCUGAGCGGGCGUGGCAAGGC
rnacentral:rRNA from 1 species